rnacentral:rRNA from 1 species
GAUGAACGCUGGCGGCGUGCCUAAUACAUGCCAGUCAAGCGAACGGACGAGAAGCUUGCUUCUCUGAUGUUAGCGGCGGACGGGUGAGUAACACGUGGAUAACCUACCUAUAAGACUGGGAUAACUUCGGGAAACCGGAGCUAAUACCGGCUAAUAUUUUGAACCGCAUGGUUCAAAAGUGAAAGACGGUCUUGCUGUCACUUAUAGAUGGAUCCGCGCUGCAUUAGCUAGUUGGUAAGGUAACGGCUUACCAAGGCAACGAUGCAUAGCCGACCUGAGAGGGUGAUCGGCCACACUGGAACUGAGACACGGUCCAGACUCCUACGGGAGGCAGCAGUAGGGAAUCUUCCGCAAUGGGCGAAAGCCUGACGGAGCAACGCCGCGUGAGUGAUGAAGGUCUUCGGAUCGUAAAACUCUGUUAUUAGGGAAGAACAUAUGUGUAAGUAACUGUGCACAUCUUGACGGUACCUAAUCAGAAAGCCACGGCUAACUACGUG